rnacentral:rRNA from 1 species
AACGAACGCUGGCGGCAGGCUUAACACAUGCAAGUCGAACGCAUCCUUCGGGGUGAGUGGCAGACGGGUGAGUAACGCGUGGGAACGUGCCCUUCAGUUCGGGAUAACCCAGGGAAACUUGGGCUAAUACCGGAUACGUGCGAGAGCAGAAAGAUUUAUCGCUGAAGGAUCGGCCCGGGUCUGUUUAGCUAGUUGGUGGGGUAAUGGCCCACCAAGGCGACGAUCAGUAGAUGGUCUGAGAGGAGGAUCAGCCACAUUGGGACUGAGACACGGCCCAAACUCCGACGGGAGGCAGCAGUGGGAAUAUUGGACAAUGGGCGCAAGCCUGAUCCAGCCAUGCCGCGUGAGUGAUGAAGGCCUUAGGGUUGUAAAGCUCCUUCGUCCGGGACGAUAAUGACGGUACCGGAAGAAGAAGCCCCGGCUAACUUCGUGCCAGCCGCCGCGGUAA